UUAAUCUGCCAUUUAAAUAAAGGCUUUUUAAAUCUUAAUAUUUUAUAGAGAGUGCCUUGGAGUCUCCUCUUUUUGUUUCAAAGAUUUUUCGAAUCCCCUUCCAAAGAGCACCUCAAACUAACUCUGCCGAGUCCAUGUCGCGCUCCUUUUCUUUGUCUUUUGUUGUUUUGAGAAUGUUCCUACUUUGUAAUCAUCUAACAUAGUCCGUGUUCUUGACAUCUUCUGAAUGUUGAUGCUAAAGGAAUCAUAUUGACUUUACAGGAACAUUCCUGGAAAUAGAAAUAUUUGUAAAUGCUGUUUAAACAUUAGACUAAAACAUCUUUACAACCUGUAGCUAAUGUUAUCCAGAGUUGUGGGAACAUUCUCCUGUGGAGCUUCAGUACUUUCACCUUGCAUUCCUUGUGUUUCAUUUUUCAGAAUAGGAAGGUCCUUUCCAUAGAUGUGGCAGGAGGAGUAUUCAAGCUGGUCCUGGUUCUGGAGAGACCGGUUCCCUCCGGAGGGCAGCGGAGGUUUGCUGGAGGAGGCGGAGGCCGAGCCUCCAGCCAGCCGUCCGUGGAAAGGGGAUCUCUCUUUGAAUUGCCUUUCCCGAGGUUUCUUCCCAUGAGGAAGUUUUUCCUCGUCUUCAUAGAGAGCUUGGGCUGGAUCCAGACCUCCUCAAAAAUAAACCUUCAUUAUAAUAAAUGCAAUCAUUUAUA